UCCACCUGCCUCAGCCUCCCAAAGUGCUGGAAUUACAGGAGUGAGCCACCGCAUCAAGCCUACACACCUGUUUAUUUAUUCUUAGAAGGAAGAGGAACUAUUUUUUGUCAUAUGAGUCAUCGCACUUGAGCAAGAACAGCAUCUCACUUUACCUAGAAGGGGGCCAUGUACAUGGCAAGCCCAGUUGGCUGCAUGGACUUCAUUCAGCUGUUCUGGAAAAGUGUUCAUAUCCUUUGUCUCAGUAAUUCUACAUCUGGCAAUCUAACCUAAGGAAGUAAUCUUUAGGAGACAGUAUAGUAGAGUGGUUAAGAACAUACAUGUUUGGGCUGGGUACGUCCCCACCCCCCCCCAAAAAAAAAGAAAAAAAGAACAUACAUCCUUUGGAGUCAGACGUAUUUAGAAUCGAAUCCCAAAUGGAAAUGUAAAAUAAGUCACUUCUAGAGUUUUAUUUCUCUGCUCCUCAAGUCAUUGCUAUGCAAUUUUUUUUUUUUUUUUUUGAGACUCAAAGUGAGUCUCACUUUGUCCCCCAGGCUGGAGUGCAGUGGUGUGAUCUCAGCUCACUGCAACCUCCGCCUCCCAGGUUCAAGUGAUUCUCCUGCCUCAGUCUCCCGAGUAGCUGGGAUUAGAGGCGUCCUCUACCACACCCACCUAAUUUUUGUAUUUUUAGUAGAGACAGGGCUUCACCAUGUUGGCCAGGCUGGUCUUGAACUCCUUACCUCAGGUGAUCCGCCCACCUCGGCCUCCCAAAAUGCUGGGAUUAUAGGCGUGAGCCACCGCUCCCGGCCUGUUUUGUUUUUUAAAUUUUUAUUUAUUUAUUAAUUUUUGAGACAGAGUCUCCUCUGUCGCCCCGGCCGAAGCUCAGUGGCACAAUCUCAUCUCACUGCAACGUCUACCUCCCAGGUUCAAGCGAUUCUCCUGCAUCAGUCUCCAGAGUAGCUGGGAUUACAGGUGUGCACCACCAUGCCUGACUAAUUUUUUGUAUUUUUAGGAGAGACAGAGUUUCGCCAUGUUGCCCAGGCUGGUCUCAAACUCCUGAGCUCAGACAAUCCACCCGCCUUGGCCUCCUAAAAUGCUAGGAUUACAGGCGUGUGCCACCACGCUGGACUUAAAUAUAUUUUUAAUGUUUUAAUGUUUAAUUUUUAUGGAUACAUAGUAAAUGUACAUAUUUAUGGGGUACAUGAGAUAUUUUGAUACAGGCAAACAAUGUGUAAUGAUCACAUCACAGUAAAUGGGGUAUCUAUAACCUUAGGCACUCAUCAUUUAUUUGUGUUAUGAACAUUCCAAUUGUAUUCCCUCAGUUAUUCUUUUUUUUUUGGGUUUUUUUUUGAGAUGGAAUUUUGCUCUUGUUGCCCAGGCUGGAAUGCAAUGGUGUGAUCUCGCCUCUAUGCAAUCUCCACUUCCCGGGAUCAAGUGAUUCUCCUGCCUCAGCCCCCUGUGUAGCUGGG
rnacentral:lncRNA from 10 species